AAAGGGUUUGAUCCUGGCUCAGAUUGAACGCUGGCGGCAGGCCUAACACAUGCAAGUCGAGCGGAUGAAGGGAGCUUGCUCCUGGAUUCAGCGGCGGACGGGUGAGUAAUGCCUAGGAAUCUGCCUGGUAGUGGGGGAUAACGUCCGGAAACGGGCGCUAAUACCGCAUACGUCCUGAGGGAGAAAGUGGGGGAUCUUCGGACCUCACGCUAUCAGAUGAGCCUAGGUCGGAUUAGCUAGUUGGUGGGGUAAAGGCCUACCAAGGCGACGAUCCGUAACUGGUCUGAGAGGAUGAUCAGUCACACUGGAACUGAGACACGGUCCAGACUCCUACGGGAGGCAGCAGUGGGGAAUAUUGGACAAUGGGCGAAAGCCUGAUCCAGCCAUGCCGCGUGUGUGAAGAAGGUCUUCGGAUUGUAAAGCACUUUAAGUUGGGAGGAAGGGCAGUAAGUUAAUACCUUGCUGUUUUGACGUUACCAACAGAAUAAGCACCGGCUAACUUCGUGCCAGCAGCCGCGGUAAUACGAAGGGUGCAAGCGUUAAUC
rnacentral:rRNA from 1 species